rnacentral:lncRNA from 1 species
AAGGAAAAGGGAACCCCCGAACCGUUUGCAGAAGAAUAGCCAUUGAACGGAAGGCUGAGCUCGCGUCAACCGUUGGGAGUGUCUAUUGAGGAACAGGAAAGAUGGACGGUGUGUCUUCUCCAGCUGGAGUCGAGACUGCGCCGGUUCUACAGGGGCGUUUUACGCGUUACGCAGCAUCGAUUUGUGUCCGCUCAGGACUGCGCGGGAGGUUCCGAGGAAAGGUCUUCAAGUGGACACAUUCAACGGAGCGCGAAAAGCGUGGUCCUCGAACCAUCUCGAAAGUUAAUGGAAAUCUGCAAGCGAAUUUCAACGCGGCGAGCAACCAGCCGGCCCACCUGGCACACACGAGAGACGAGCGCUCCAACUUUGUGGAAUGCUGAAGAGGGUGUUUUCUCAGUGGUGUCCUUUUCGCUCCAGAAUUGCUGAAGAGUGAAGAUAUGUUCUUCACGUGCAUGAAAAUCCGCGUUUCGUCAUUUGAACGAGGAGUCCGUCUAGACGCAGCGAACACCUCGAACUCGGGACACCGGGCCGAUACAGAAGAGUCACCCGCAAUAAAUCAGGGAAAAGGCGAAAUCCUGGGGACUUCCGAAAGUGUUUAAGCGUCUGACUGCUUUGCGACUGCCACUCCUCAGCAAAUUCAGUGGAAUAUGGCAUGCGAGAGAGUGGUAAGCGUGCAUGGGUGACGGGGAAAUCGAUGGGGGCACGCGACUGCGGCGUGGCGCAAACGGAGAUGGGCGUGGUUUCAUCAUGCAUAUUGAAGAGGCAGAUAUUGUUCGUCGACCUGUCGCGUUUCUCUCGUGUGUGUGUUGAACCGUGAUGUGCUUCAAUCCUUUUUGAGUUCACUGGUUUCACCUCCGGAGCCCUCCCCCCGAACGACGGAAGCC